UACAGAUUUCUUAUUUUGAGGCAGCUUUCUGCCGCUGACCAGGAGCGCUCAUUGGAAUGGUUCUGGUCAUAGCGUGUCGUGUGCUUUGCACCUGGAACAUCAACAACCCCAGCAAUCCCCACCACUCCCCCAGGCCCGAGCAGAUGAACAGCUCUGCAGCCUCAGUGUCAUCAGCUUCGCCUUGAAUCCGCCUCUAACAGCAAGGUCUCACUAAAGCAGGGACUGAAAAGCCAUCUGGGACACUCAGCCUCCCCGAGGAAAGGCACCACCUGGCCCAUGGCAAGGCAGAAUAUCCUAGUGGAAGCACAUGGUGGAAAAGACUCUUCACCACAUGGGAACCAAGAUGGAAAAGAGAAAAGGAGCACGAAAGGAGCUGAUGGAGCAACUUCCUUCAUAUCUGUACUUUAUCUGCCAUAGUUUUGAUCAGUGAUGCCCUACAAAGAUUCUGACCCCUUUAUUACCCUGAGAGAAAGAAGGAAAGAAACAUUCAUCGGCAGUGGAUUCUUGGCAUCUGGUCCACAGAUGGAGGGAAUUUAGGCUGUGAAGCAGCCAGACUCUGCUCCAGGUCCACUCAGGGCCUUGACUACAAAGACAUGGAGACACCUGCUCUGCUCCCACACCAGGAUAGCGGAUACACACAAAAGGUGCUGCAGUGGCUGAGAGAGCUGUUCAGCAGACAGGAUCACAAAGGGGAGACUUGGGCAAGAGACAUAGGGAAGCCUGCUGAUUGAGGAAAUACUCCAGAUCUCAACCCCAGAAGUCAGGAAGCUGAAGCCCUCAGGGAGAGCAAAGAGAGACAUUGUAGUGAGGACUCAGCAAACUACAGUGGUUGGUGAGUUUGUGGGAUCAGCACCUCCAUCUCAAACCCAGACUCACUGUAGGGGGAGGUUCUCAACUAGAACCCUCUGAAAGUCUGGGAGCUCAAUUCUGGCCUUACAGCCAGAAACCAGUUUGGAUCUCAGUGGAAGACUGUGGGCUAGCUGAAAUUGUUUGACUUGGGUCUUCAGGUUACUAUUCAGGUUGUCUAUCAGUGACAGGAGACAUGCCUUGAAGAGGAUGCCACUAUUAUUUUUUCUCUUUUUCCUUCCUCCUUCUC